CUGCCAUUGGACGUCAGAUGCGUCUCGAGAUGUGUCGGGAGCAAGUGUUAAGACCGUUUUGCAGGCGAGUGUACAGAUAUACACGCAGUGCGCGCGCAAUCGCGUAAAAAACGUACGUCUCGCAUACACACACACACACACAUUGCAUGUAUUACGUGCAAUGUGCAGCAUGUUAUGUGCAUCCGUACCUGCAUAUGCAUGUACGCACGCCGCACACUCGUUGCAGCACACAUGCGCACAACGGCAAGGAGAUACGGCCAGCAGCGCGACGCACGUGUGACCGGCCGAGAGAGCGCGUUAGUGUGUUAGUGAGGCGCAGACCGGGGCCGGGGAUUGGUCGAGGCGAACGCGUGCCGCUACGGCUAUCCGUGCUUCGUACUUCCGCCGCUGUGUGCCAGAGAGCGCGCGGCGAGUUGCGCAGUACGCUCCCCACCGCGUGCGCGUAGUGUGUAACCCCCGCGCGCUGUCCGCCAUCUUUGUCAAGUAACUUUGUUGAUUGUAUGAAAUGUGACGCCGUUGUCGCGCGAGAUAAUUGGUGAUCGUGAUUACGCGUUCCGUGUGUCGUUGAUACUCGGUGAUACGUGCCAACGUCGUGCUCGUGGAUUUACCUGUCGAUGGAACCACUGUGACCAGGGUCAGCGCGAUAGCCGGCGUGGCGGAGGAGGAGAGGAAGAGGAAGAAGAAGAAGAAGAAGAAGAAGAAGAAGAAGAAGAAGAGGAAGCGCGAGCGAGGGCGAGGGCGAGAACUUCUCGAAGCCGAGCUUCGGAGGCCCCCCGAGAAGCAGGAUGUGAACGUCGCGGUCGGCGAACGUGACGUCCUUUACCCGGCGAAGAGAGGUGGGCACUAGCCGUGACUUCGUCGACGCUGUCGCGUCGUCCGCGCCUCGGUCACCGAGGACGGGGACGCGAUGGGCGAGCAGGAGACACCCGAGACCUGGACGGCCUGGUUCCUCGAUGCGAUACGGAAAAUACGUACUCAGAAGCAGCGGCCGAGCGUCGAGCGAAUAUGCCACGCGAUACGCCAGCACCACAAUUACCACGAGGAGGAGAUCGCCGAACACCUGGAGGUCUCCGUGAAGCGUGGCGACGUGCUGAAAAUAUUCAACAAGGGACAGUCCUCGUACAAAGACCCGUGCGGCUUGCAGUCGAAACCGCUCAGAGUCACCAAGUCCGCGGACCUCAGCAAGGUCUUGGGCAAGGCUGUGCGCGAGCUCGGCGAACGCGAGGGUUCUACCCUUAAGAGCAUCGAGAAGUACAUCAGGCAGAGUCACACGGUCGAGGAAGAGUCCGAUGGCGACCUCAGGACCGCUCUCAGGCUGUCCGCCAAGCGUGCGGUUGAUCGCGGACUCGUGCUGCAGGAGGGCAGACUCUUUCGACAGUCCGACCGGCCACCAUGCCUCAAGAAGAACAACGACAACGCUCAAUCGUCGUCGGAGCAGCCCGCCAAGCAGCCAUCAGCACCGCUGCCGAUCUGCAGAGAGUGCCUUGGCGCCACGGUGGCCGGCAACAACAACAACAACAACAGGCGCAACUCCAGCGAGAAGCUCAGCAGGUGUAUCGCUUGCGGUGCCGCUCUGCACAAUUCCUGCGCUCCGCCGGAACUCUCGAUGUUCGUCGACCGAGGGAUAACCUGGUCCUGCGACGGCUGCUCGCCGACUUGCUCCGGUUGUCAUCUGGAACGAGAGUCGCAGAAUUAUCUGGUCAAGUGCGCCGGUUGCAUCAAGUGUUACCACCCCAGCUGCCUCGACACCGGCCUCGACAAGAAGAUCCGAGCGCCUUGGAGAUGUCGGCACUGCCUAACAGCCCAUACUCCGGUCGGCAAGGACGACGGUAAGAAGAACAGGGCGCAGGACUCAGCCGAUGACGACACGACGAACAGCGCGAGGAAGAGGCUGAAGUUACGGGAGAAUCGAAAAUCGAUGGUAUCCAGAAAAUGCUUGGCGAAUGCGUACCCGAGCAAGAGAGGGAGUGCGGGACUGGCUCAGGUGGACAGCAGCUCGGACGGUAAUGCGGGUGUUGUCUCCCCUCGUCAACCACCUUUGAAUUCCUCUCCUUUACCACAACCCCCCACCCCACUCGCAGGCCAGGGUAGGCUACUCGAGGAAAAGAACGACAGGAUCUCCAAGGAGAAGCAAAAGUUCUUUAGAUUGAGCGCGUUUAACGCUGAGCACAGUAAAUUGAAGCGGGUGGGGGGCGGUGAUAAAACGAAACCCUCGCGGAACGUUAGCGCUAGGUCGACUCGAGGUACCGCGAAUUCGAAAAAGUCUGGAACGUCGCGAGUGUCCAGCAGUAGCAGCGCCGGCGAAGGCAGCAGCAGUAGCAGCAGUAGCGAGGCCGGUAACAGCAGCGGGAGCUCGGAUGGCAGUGAUAGUAGCGAGGACGAUGACGAGAACAACAACGACGACAACGACGAUGACGACGACGACGACGACGACGACGACGACGAUGACGACGAGGAUGAGGACGAUGAUGAGGAAGGCAAUAGCUCGAGCGAGAGCAGCGAUUCCUGCUCGUCGUCAGACGAAGCGCAACACGACAGAAUCGAGUCUCCCAAGACGAAAGUGCCGUUCGCCUGCGACCUCAGUGAGGACAAGCCGUGGGGCUUCGCUGCCGCCGCCGCCAAACUGAACGUAGAGUCGCCUUUCUUCAGCAAUAUCACCAACACCUUCGGCGCUCCGGUACCCAAGCUCGACGUGGGCGACACGCCGACUUUUGGCUUGCACAUACAGCCCGCGGCCGCCGCUGCGUCAGACAGCAGAAAGAAACCGCUGAAAUUCGAACGCAAUGCCGCCGUGCAGUCGCCGGGCGUCGGAUUUGCGAGCGCCGACAACAAGGUGAAACCCGGGAGCGGCCAGUUGAGAAGCCUCUUCGACGGUUUGAGCCACUUUUUUUCAGCACCUAGCAGAGCGAGAUCGGCGGGCGUGCCGGCGCCGAAUUACGCGCCGGAUAGAAGGAAAAGGCCUAACGCUGAGGAUAACGCUGAGGCGAAGACCAAUCGAGUCUCCUCGCGGAUCGGUGCUAACCAGCGAAGCAAAUCGGACGAUUCGCCCAGUAAGUCGAAGGAACGGAAAAAGACCGAAGUCGUCGAGAUCAUGUCGAGAAUACCGAAGCCUGGUAUCUUCGUUCCUUCCGACGAGAGUCUGUAUUCUUCGCUAAACGAGAAACUACCGAAGAUGACUCCGUCGAGUCUGGUGAAGACCGCGGUGAACAGUAAGAGGCACGAGCACGAGAGGAGAAAGUUAAUGAAAGACGACGCGUCGUCGCUCAUUAAGUGCGCCGCCGUCGCAGACCCCUCGUCACCGUCAUCGUCAUCGUUGAGACACGAGCAGCAGCAGCAACAGCAACAACAACAGUCGCGAAAGAAGCACACGGCUGCGGAUACGAGUCAGUCACGCCACCCUGUGCCCGGUCCCGUUGCAAAGUCCGGCCUCAGCUCCGAUUCCGUCAAAUCAAAUCCCAGUCCAAAGUCCAAUCCACGAGCCUGUACUAGCGCCACCACCACCAACACCACCACGACACCCCGCGCGACACCCUGCUCCACCAGGAAGGACGAACCUGUUGUGUCAAAAUUCUUGCCGCCGGGUGUUACGCAGAAGGACGCGGACCUCUUUAGGGAGGCACGCGAACGGGCGGCCCGCUUGACCGCCAACAACGACGAGAGCGAACCGUCCGCCAGCAGUACGCCCGGCAGCGCGGCGCGAAAUCCUGCGGCGAUAGUGUUUGGCCGUUACGAGGUCGAGACUUGGUACUCGAGUCCGUUCCCUCAGGAAUACGCGCGGCUACCCAAGUUGUUCUUCUGCGAGUUCUGCCUCAAGUACACGAAGAGCCGGGCGGUGCUCGACAGGCAUAUGGACAAGUGCCACUGGAGGCAUCCACCUGCGACCGAGAUCUACAGGUGUAACGGACUGUCCGUCUUCGAGAUCGAUGGCAACGUGAACAAGAUAUACUGUCAGAAUCUAUGUCUGCUGGCCAAGCUGUUCCUGGAUCACAAGACGCUUUAUUACGACGUGGAGCCGUUUCUCUUUUACGCGGUGACCAAGAACGACAGGCACGGGUGCCACUUGGUGGGCUACUUCAGCAAGGAGAAGCACUGUCCGGCUCAAAGGUACAACGUAUCCUGCAUCAUGACACUACCGCAGUAUCAGAGGCAGGGCUUCGGCAGGUUUCUCAUAGAGUUCAGCUAUCUCCUGUCGAAAGUCGAGGGCAUCCCGGGCACGCCGGAGAAGCCGCUCUCGGAUCUCGGUCGUGUGUCGUAUCAUUCCUUCUGGAAGAGCGUGGUGCUCGAGUACCUGGACUCGCAUCGGAACAUCAACGGCAUCAAGCUCGACGAUAUCACGAAGGAGACCGGCGUGUCGGCGCACGACAUCGCCACGGCGAUGCAACUGCUGGGUUUCAUCAAGUCGGUAUACCUGCCGGGUGAGGCGAACUCCAAAAUGGCUGUGGUAGUCGAUUGGAACAAGGUGGACGCUCACAUGGCGAAAGUGCGCAAGAAUUCACGCAUCAAGCUGGAUCCCGACUGUCUCAGAUGGAUACCGUUGCUCACUCAGAUACCUAACCCGUAUCAGAAUCCAGAAGAGAGCGGCGACACCGGCUCGGAAGUGUCUCCAGCGGUGGAACCUAAGCCGGUAGCGGCGAUCGUCGAAAAGAUACAGAGAGUGAAGAUUAAGAAGAAACCGAGAGGGAGGAGAAUCGGCCAGAGGAGAUCGUCACCUUUGAAGCCGAAGACCCCGCAGAGAAGCGCGCCUCAGAAGGAGGCGGUCAAGGAAGAGAAGGAGCACACCAAGGACACGAGAGAAGUCAAGACGCCGAAAGAGUCGAGGGAAUCGAGAGAAUCCGCGAAGGAGAGUCGCACCAAUAGUAGCGUCGAGCACACGGACAGCCGGAAAGACGCGGACACUGACGCGAAGAGCGGCACCCCGGCGUCCACGACGAGAACUUCUCGCGCGGUCAGCUCGGCAAAAAAUACUCCGGCUCCGACGAGUCCGCCGAAGACGACGACGCCGCAGGUGACGAUGACGAUGUCGAAAAGGAGGAUCAGGCCGCCUAAGACGUAUCUAGCCGAGUCGUCGGUCGUCACGACGCCGCUGAGGAAACGAAAACAUUCCGACAAGAUUGAAGUCGCGGACAAGGAGGAGACCAACGUCAGAAAAAGGACACGAGAGUCUCUGCGGGAGAGGGACAGGGAGCGCGACCGGGAGGCUGAGCGGGAACGUGACAAAGAGAAGGAGAGGACAAAGGACAAGGACAAAUCGAAAGAAAGCGAGCCUUCGAAGGAAACGUCAGCGGAGAAGACUCUUCUCAAGUCCGAGUCAAAUCGACGAGCCUCGACUCCGCUGGGUCAGAGAAACUCGUCGAAGAAGCAGUGCAAGGUGGACGAUAUCUUGCUGAAGGUCACCAGCAGGCAGUCCAAAUACAUGCAGCAGACGAAGCAGACGAAGGAGAAGAAAGCGCCGGAGGAAACGCACUGUAACGGCGGCAAGGAAGAGACGCGAGACCCGAUGAAGAACUCGUCGCUGUCGAGACGGGGUAGGACCAAAGCGGCGGCAGCGGCGGCGGCGGCGGCAGCGGCAACGGCAGCAACUCCGACGACAACUCCCACGACAACUCCUACAACAGCAACAACGACGACGACGACGACGACGACGACUACGGCGGCGGCGGCGGCGGAAGCUCUGAAGAUGCCGCAAUUGACGCCGGAAGCUCCGACGAAGAACAGAGCCGAGAGUCCUGUGAUACAGCCGCCGUCGUUAUCCCCGCCACCCGCGGAAAACGCCGUGAAGAACGGUUCCGUUCGUAGCAAGCAACCGUCCGUAACGGAUCUGCCGUCGAAGCACGCUGCGCCAGUCAGCAACGGCGAUAACAAGAGUGAGAACGCGGAGGAGAACAAUGGGUCGGUCGUUACCCCGGAAACGGAGGUUGUGUCCGAGAGUCCCGGUGAAUACGAAGGUGGCGACGAGGACGAAGGCGAAGAGGAAGAGAUAUCCGCGCCGAUGCCUAAACCCGUGACCGGCGAGAAAAAGCAGCAGCGGCCGUUGUCGCCUAUCGCGGAGAAGCCCGUGAAGGAGAUGACUUGCAACGACGAGAAAGCAGCGGACGAUAAGUCGCAGGUGAUGAAGAAAGAGAACGAGAGCUCAUCGCUGAAAGCGGAGGCAGCGACGGCAAUGGUGGCGGCGGUGGCGGCGGCGGCGGCGGCGGCGGCGGCGACGGCGACGGCGACGGCAACGGCGACGGCGACGGCGGAUCUACCGGUCGGCGACGAUCAGACUGAAACUUUAAACGAAUGUGAUAAGGACUCCGAGACUGAAAAGCCCGCCUGCAGUCCGGAGGCAUCGAAAACAGUACCUGAAGUUGCUUCACCAAAAGAGGAGGAAGUCGACAAGUCGGAGAUCGCCGGUUUGCCGAAGAAAGAUGACCCCAAGGAGGAGUUGGUCCGCGAGACGCCCAAGAACACUGCGAAGGUUGACUUGACGCGGCCAAAGACGGAGGCGUCUCCCGCGAUGACAGCAAACGACAAACGAAGCACAUGCGUGCUCGCCAAUAACACGACGGUGAAUAGCACGGAGGUCGAGCCUCUGACACCGCAGGAGAAGACGUUGCCCACGGUAGCAUUGGAGCAGCAGGACAGCACGCUGCAGUUGCAAACUCAGACGGACGAGCUGAAGCAGCACUCGCCUGAGAGCGGCAAGACGACCCCGCACCUGGAGAACCCAGGCUCGGUGAAGCGGACACCACCGUCGCAGCCGGAUCUACCGUCUAUGGGAGUGUACACGCCAGACUCAACCACCAACUCGGUGCACUCGCUUCAUUACGGUCAGUGUGACCUGGACGUUAGUCAAUUGGGCCUGGAGUCGCCCACUUCCAUAGCCAGCGACCUCGCCUCGCAGAACAGCGUGGAGCGACCACCCAGUGCGUUGCCAUCUAUUCCGCCGCCGGUUAGUGUGCCAAUGACGACGGUACCCAUGCAGCAGAUUACCGCGCCGGUAACGUCGUCGUCGUCACCGAUGCCGGUGAACAUACCGACAGCGGCGGCGGCGGCGGCGGCGACGUUAAGAGAGGCGCAACAACAGCAGCAGCAGCAACAGCACCAACAACAACAACAACAACAACAACAACAACAACAACAACAACAACAACAGGUGCAAUACGCCGACUGCUCGAUGCCGCAGCACACGCCGCCCGCUCACGUGAGCAUCCAUCCGAUGCAUCCGCAGCCGCAGUCCCUUCAGCAACCGCGUACCCCGCAGUCGCACACUCCGCAGAGCAUACCGACUCAGAGCCCGCAGCCGUUGCCGCAGAGUCAAACACCGCAGCCCCUGCCGCCGCAGUCUCACACGCCGCAAAGUAUACCGACUCAGAGCCCGCAGCCGAUGCCACAGAGUCUCACGCCGCAGCCUUUACCCCAGGCGCACACGCCACAGCCGAUGCAGCUAUCGCUCGCGCAACAGGCCCAGAAUCAGAAUAUGGCGCACAGUCAGUCUCAGCAGCAGCAGCAUCAGCAGCAGCAGCAGCAGCAGCAACAGUCAGCGCAUCAACAACCGUCGCAAGCACCGCAGCAACAAGCACAGCAGUCGCAGUCACACAGCAAGAGAGCGAGCGGCUCGCAGACGACUCACAGGUCCAGGUCGACGCAGCAGAGCAGCAGCAGGUCGUCACAUCGCGCCACCCCACCGGCGACGCCUCACACGCAGACCUCCCAGCAUACGACGUCGCAGAGUAGCGGCAGCGGCGGCGGUCACAGCAAUAGUACCGUGGCGCACACGAGCACGCAUCCGAUACCGCCGCAAUACCAGCAGUCCCCGUCGUCGUCGAUGAGCGUGCCGCCGAUGCCGCCUCACCCGCACUCGCAUACCGCGGCCGCGCACGCCGCGCACUCGCACAACAUGGUGAUCUCUCAGGGCAACUACAUGACGGUGGCGGGCUCGCCGCAGGGCUUUCCCACGCAGAACACCUACGUGAUCCAGCACCGCAGUGGCCGGUCGGGCGCGCCUACGCCCUGCACGACCACGACGAAUUUCUACAUACAGACCAGCGCGAUGCCGCCGCACUCGCACACCCCGGCGCCGCCGCCGUUGUCGGCCUCCGGCAAUCACCAGACCACCAACUCGUGCAGCCUCGCGAAACUGCAGCAGCUCACCAACGGCCUGGAGAUGAUACCGCCGACGCCGUCGCCGGCGAUGAACCUCACGCCACCGCCGCCGAUCCCCCACACCAUGACGCCGCCGCAGACGUCGCGGCAGCUGGCGACGCCACCGCAAGUGCCGCUUGGCUACGCCAAGAACUACUACAACGUCAACACCGUGCCACCCGGCACACCCGGCCCGCCCAGCCGUUCCGCCUCCAGGUCGUCGGCUAACCCGGCGAACAUGGCGUCGCUCACGCAGCCGUACCCUAGCGAAGGCCUCUACCGGCAGUCCCUUGACCCGAGCCCCACCUGCCCGCAGAUGCAGAGCGCCGCCAGCCGAGUCAGUCCGAACGUCGCGCUCAACACGAAUCUCAUGGCGGCCGCGCAGUACAGCUAUCGAAUGGCGCAGCCGGCCGGCACGUAUAUGAACCAGGCGCAGCUGGGCGGCUUUAUGAAUCAGGCGAGUCAAUUGCCGGUCGGCGUGGUGAACGUGCCCGCGCCGUAUCCGCAGGAUCCCCACCAGCAGAACCCGGCGGCGGUGUACACCACGUAUCACGGCUACGGCCUCAUGCAGCCGCUCAACAGCACCAUGAGGCCGCGUUAAGGCGCCCGCAGCGCCUCGAACGGAUCUCUGGCUUCUUCUCGCCCGAGAACGGGAAGGAGGAUCGCUCUUGGCCGCGGCGAGCAGUGAGUGAGCGAGAACGAACGAGAAUCUACGCGCAGUACGGUUGGUAAAUGCUCUCACGCGCGACGACAAGUUAACGCUCUCUUCUGUACGGCGACCUACGGCGACGACGACGACGACGCCUCGCUCGUCUGCGCUCGUACUUCCUUUCCGGCUACCACCGCUCUCCACUUGCUUCCAUCGGCUGUGUGUUGGCCUGCUCUGCCCGUGGGAAUCGAGCGCUGUCCAUCGCCUUUCUUCUACCGCACCGCAUCGCAUCACGCACCACCAUGGCCGGCUUUCAACGCAGCGCAACACAGCAGGCUCUCGCCCUCUCGGCUCGGCGGGGGGGGGACUCUCCUCCCCAGAGAAUCUCCGAGAUAAUACGAAGAAACGAAGCGGGACCUGAGAAAAAGGGAAAAUGAAGAGAAAACGAUAAUCCGUUCAGCGCCCUGGGUCAAAGUUUCCCGGAGGUGCUGAAGGAAGAAAGGAAGAGAGAGAAAGAAAGUAAUUGUCAUACCCUCCAUACCGUCGCGGAUAGGAGUGUGGGUACAUCUUUUUUCUCUUCACCGUGCUCGAUCGAGGGCUCGUAUUAAACGAAUUCUUAACUUGUCGACAAAGAUUGCACACAAGGUACAAUUUAAUCGUAAUACAAUUUAAUCGAUCGAUAACUCCUCUCGAAAGCACGGGUUCGUAACUUGUGCAUUUAAAAAAAAAAGAAAAAAAAAGAGAGACGGGAGAAAGAAGAAAAAUACGAAUAUACAAAUCCGUUACCUCGGACGGAUCGACGAACGAUCGGCCGAAGUAUCGUGUUUUCCCCUACGCCUCUCCCCGCAUAAACGAAAGCAAACAGGAACAGAAAGGGAAAAAAUAAGAAAAGAAGAAGAAGAAGAAGAAGAAGAAGAAGAAAAAAACAGAUAAAUGCGGACACCUAUUUUUUAGUAGGGCAUUCCUUCGCGAAACUACAUGUUACGUUUUGUGUAUUUAUAUAUAUAUAAAUAUAUAUAAAUAUAUAUUUGCGGAUAAUUCUGUUUAAUAUUAUCGAUUGUUGAACGUUGUUGUUUAAGUUUUCUUCGAGGCACACUGUACUUUACUGUAUCAUAAACGUAAAAAGGAACGAAAGGAAAGUAGCUACUUAUCGCUAUCGUAAUUCUCAUUGUAUUAUUAUGGAAGGAAAUUAAACUCGAGAUCGUAUAUUACUGUCGCCGAGGCGUACUGUCGCGUCGAAACAAACCGCUGGUCCUGGCGAAGCAGGAAGGAAAGGAAAACGUCGCUGUGUCACGCAUCUGGUUUUAUCGAUUGUUAAUAUUAUUAUUUGCUAUUGCGUUAAUUGAUUGACCAAUCGAUCGAUUAAUCCGUUAUUACUUGCUGCUACUGUCGCAAAUGACGGAGUGGCGCUCAUGGCAGAGCACGUACAUGUAUAUGUGUACGCGUACAUACAUACAUUGCCUUGCAUUGCAUUACAUUGCAUUGCAUUGCAUUGCAUUGUGUUGCAUUGCGUUACGUCGUAUCGCUUCGCGUCGCAUUGCAUCGCAUUGCGCUACAUAACAUUACAUUACAAUUACGAUACAUGCGUCUACGUACAAAGUCGCGUCGUAUUCACAUACAUACAGACACACACACACACACACACACACACACACAUAUACUGAUUUAAUAUUUUAAUUGUCGAUUGCGAUAUCACACACGAGAACGUUCAUUCGUUAUCUCUACGUACGCGUAUGUUUUUAUUAUCUAGUAUCGCGAGAGGGUAGCUCUAUAAUAGUUUUUUCGGAAGGAAUAACGGAGCGCGCAAUUCGGCUCUUCCGGCGAAGCGUCGCGAGGUCUCGUGCUGAAAUUAUUUUUUGUAUCGAAGUGACGCGAGAGCACUGCUCUUAAAAAAAGAAAAUGCAAAAAAAAGGAAGCUGGAGGAGGAGGAGGAGGAAGAGGAGAAGAAGAAGAAGAAGAAAAAGAAAAAGAAGAAGAAGAGGAAGAAGGAGGAGGAGGAAGAGGAGGAGGAGGAGAAGGAAACCUCUCGCGCGACGAAGUAGGAUGAGAAAAACGGGUAACGACGUCGUCACCCACGCGCCGCAACUCCCCGAAACGCGUUACCCUCGCGAAUGUAUGUAUAUUCCUCGAGACGCGCAAUUUCCCCUCCCGUCGUGGGCGACGCUUCGCGGAACGGUCGCGAGAACAACAAAAAAUAUAAUAUAUUUAUGGUACUCGUUACGAACUUAAUUUUUUCAGACGAAAAAGAAAGGGCGAAGAUGAAUAAGGGCGGAUCGCGCCUAGUUUAGGGUAAUUAAAUGAUGAAUCCAUAAUAGUGUAAAAA